CCUACGGGAGGCAGCAGUGGGGAAUUUUGGACAAUGGGGGCAACCCUGAUCCAGCCAUGCCGCGUGCGGGAAGAAGGCCCUCGGGUUGUAAACCGCUUUCAGAUGGAAAGAAAUGGUGUAGGUUAAUAACCUGCAUUGAUGACGGUACCAUCAGAAGAAGCACCGGCUAACUACGUGCCAGCAGCCGCGGUAAUACGUAGGGUGCGAGCGUUAAUCGGAAUUACUGGGCGUAAAGCGUGCGCAGGCGGUUCUUUAAGACAGGUGUGAAAUCCCCGGGCUUAACCUGGGAAUUGCGCUUGUGACUGGAGGGCUAGAGUGUGGCAGAGGGGAAUGGAGUUCCUGGUGUAGCAGUGAAAUGCGUAGAUAUCAGGAGGAACACCGAUGGCGAAGGCAGUUCCCUGGGCCAACACUGACGCUCAUGCACGAAAGCGUGGGGAGCAAACAGGAUUAGAUACCCUGGUAGUCCACGCCCUAAACGAUGUCAACUAGUUGUUGGGGAGGGAGACCUCUUUAGUAACGUAGCUAACGCGUGAAGUUGACCGCCUGGGGAGUACGGCCGCAAGGUUAAAACUCAAAGGAAUUGACGGAA
rnacentral:rRNA from 1 species